rnacentral:rRNA from 1 species
UACGAAGGGAGCUAGCGUUGUUCGGAAUCACUGGGCGUAAAGCGCACGUAGGCGGAUGUGUCAGUCAGGGGUGAAAUCCCGGAGCUCAACUUCGGAACUGCCUUUGAUACAGCACGUCUUGAGUCCGAUAGAGGUGGGUGGAAUUCCUAGUGUAGAGGUGAAAUUCGUAGAUAUUAGGAAGAACACCGGUGGCGAAGGCGGCCCACUGGAUCGGUACUGACGCUGAGGCACGAAAGCGUGGGGAGCAAACAGG